CCGUUCGCGCACUCUCUACAUUGAGGUCAGGCAUCGGUUGAUUCACUGUUAGACGUUGCGCAAUUUCAAAAUGGCGGACAAAGUAAGUAACCAACUCGAGAAAUAAUUGCUCAUAUCUAUUUGUUUUACAUCAUGACAACUUAUUUCAUCAAUGCUGACUGUUAACCAAAGUUGUUUUCUAUUUAUUUUUUUAUUCAUUUGAUUUAUUUUGCGUAAAUUUACACUGUUAUCACUGGAUUAAAAAAUGUUUACAUUUUAAGAAAGUGGAGGUAGUCAAAAUUGACCCCCAAUAUUUCCUUUGUCGUGGACCGACAUCAAAAUUUUAUUGUCUAGUCUAAUGUAUAUAUGAAUGAUCUAUGUUAGGAUAUACAAUGCUUUAUAUGUCGCUCCUUAUUUAAUAUAGUAAAUGCACCCCAGAUUUUUUAUCAUAAUUCUAUCAACAAUUGGCAUGUGCUCUGACCUACUAUUGCAUAUAUUUGACAUAAAACAAAGGUUUAACGCUUCUGUAUUGUUUGCAUUUUGCUGUCCAUGCAAUCAUCAUAUAAGUUGAAAAGGGGGAGGGAUUAACCCCCUGUGUAUUUAUUUUGUUUUAUUAUGAUUCCCCUAGCUGGUACCUUAAUUUCCUUCCACUUUAUCCAGCAUAAUAUUUACAUGAUAGCAUGAGUAUAAGAUGUAAUUUUCAUGAAGGCUUGUGGAAGUGAAUCCCACCACUAUACAGAUGUUUAGCAGUUAGAGGUGGUGCUAAUUUGGUAGGUCACCACAAUCUAUUAAUAUCCUUGCAUACAUAAUAAUUUUUCAUACAACUGUAAUGCCAAUUUGCCAAGGCAAUACAUUCUGAAAAUUGUACCAAUCCUUUUUAUGUUGUAACAGGUUCAUUAUAGCUUUCAGAUAAUCAUAAAUAUCUCUAUUUUGUAUGUUUUUUUUAGGCUUUUCCAUCGUUCAUUGCAUUUCAUAGAAUUUACCAGGAUACCGAAAACAAAUCCCCUGUAUUAAAGACAUGAUGGUCAGCCAAAAGAGAGCAUGGAAGCCCAACAGGAACAGCUCCUCUACAGCCCAUUAAGGUCUGAAGUGUACCAGUGUACCAGUUUCUCUUUGACCUGUGGCAACUCGUGUAACUAACCCCGCCUUUGUCAAGGACACGCGUACUUGUCGCUGUCCCGAGGGUCUGGAUCUCUCUACCCGAUAUCCGACUCAUUUUGAUGGGGGAUCGAAUGAUUUCAACAAAAUGGCCAUCUGACACCUUUACCAGUUUAAGUACCUGGAUACAUGUAACUGGCUGUCCCAGUGGGUUUUAUGAAGGCAGUUUUACACAUCAUAUUAAAGACACCAGGAUGGACCACACAAGUACCACAUUUAAUGCUGACAUCAUUUCAAAGCCCACCUCUACAUUUUACAAAUUUUGUGCUAAGAAGAAAACGGAAGAAAAUAGAAUUUUGCCAAGCUGGCCUGCAGGAAAAUAUUGUAUCUACCGCCAAG